CCUCCCGCCGGCCCGUUCCCCGCGCCCCUCCGGGCCUCGGAUCUCUCCCAUGCAAUUGGGCUCCGAGGGCUGCUUGGGCUGGUGACCUAGCCCCGGAUCCGAAGAGAAGGCCGCGGGCCCGCGCUUCCGGCUCGUCUGGGGCGGUGCGCUCUGUCUCUCCUGCCCUCUCUCGGUUAUCCGCGAGGCUGCUGGGCACCGCACAGGUGGCUUCAGAGUUUGGAACCCGACCUCAGAGAGGGACGCAAAAUCCACACUUGCCCUCGGCCUCAAACCGCGCAAACUUCUCCGGGAGACCGGAGCGACGCUCCGGGGUGCGCUUGGCUUCCAGACGCGGCUUUUCCGCGCGCCCCACCGUCUGCCCUUUGGGGACAUGAACCACCCCCCCACACCUACUUCUCCCGGGCUCACCACCCCCACACCCUGGGGGCCGCGCCUCCUCCUCCUCCCCCCCCCCCCCCCGCGCUCUCUCCCAGGCGCUUUAAAUAAUGAUAUUUGCAUGCAGGGAGCGAUUCAUAAAUAUGUCAGGGCCGGUGAAAUAUAGGCAACAUUUCAAACUUUCUAUUUAAAAAACAUGAAUUAUGGCCGCGGAAAAUGUGUUCCCAUUUAAAGGCGAUACGAAGUAUUUGGUGUCUCGUCCCUGGGCCCAUCCAUCACGCAGACAAUAAAGAGAGUUUUUCGCCCUGA